rnacentral:rRNA from 1 species
GAUGAACGCUGGCGGCGUGCCUAAUACAUGCAAGUCGAGCGAACGGACGAGAAGCUUGCUUCUCUGAUGUUAGCGGCGGACGGGUGAGUAACACGUGGAUAACCUACCUAUAAGACUGGGAUAACUUCGGGAAACCGGAGCUAAUACCGGAUGAUAUUUUGAACCGCAUGGUUCAAAAGUGAAAGUCGGUCUUGCUGUCACUUAUAGAUGGAUCCACGCUGCAUUAGCUAGUUGGUAAGGUAACGGCUUACCAAGGCAACGAUGCAUAGCCGACCUGAGAGGGUGAUCGGCCACACUGGAACUGAGACACGGUCCAGACUCCUACGGGAGGCAGCAGUAGGGAAUCUUCCGCAAAGGGCGAGAGCCUGACGGAGCACCGCCGCGUGAGUGAUGAAGGUCUUCGGAUCGUAAAACUCUGUUAUUAGGGAAGAACAUAUGUGUAAGUAGCUGUGCACAUCUUGACGGUACCUAAUCAGAAAGCCACGGCUAACUACGUG